rnacentral:piRNA from 1 species
UGGUUGCCACGAAAGAGCUGCUGAGGCCAC